rnacentral:rRNA from 1 species
GAUGAACGCUGGCGGCGUGCCUAAUACAUGCAAGUCGAGCGAACGGACGAGAAGCUUGCUUCUCUGAUGUUAGCGGCGGACGGGUGAGUAACACGUGGAUAACCUACCUAUAAGACUGGGAUAACUUCGGGAAACCGGAGCUAAUACCGGAUAAUAUUUUGAACCGCAUGGUUCAAAAGUGAAAGACGGUCUUGCUGUCACUUAUAGAUGGAUCCGCGCUGCAUUAGCUAGUUGGUAAGGUAACGGCUUACCAAGGCAACGAUGCAUAGCCUACCUGAGAGGGUGAUCGGCCACACUGGAACUGAGACACGGUCCAGACUUCUACGGGAGGCAGCAGUAGGGAAUCUUCCGCAAUGGGCGAAAGCCUGACGGAGCAACGCCGCGUGAGUGAUGAAGGUCUUCGGAUCGUAAAACUCUGUUAUUAGGGAAGAACAUAUGUGUAAGUAACUGUGCACAUCUUGACGGUACCUAAUCAGAAAGCCACGGCUAACUACGUG